CCCCGCUACGUGUAGCGGGCUGAAAUGUACCUAAAGAAUAAGGAUCGGCUAACUCCCGUGCCAGCAGCCGCGGUAAUANGAGGAUCCGAGCGUUAUCCCGGAUUUAUUGGGUUUAAAGGGUGCGUAGGCGGCACUUUAAGUCAGGGGUGAAAGACGGCAGCUCAACUGUCGCAGUGCCCUUGAUACUGAAGUGCUUGAAUGCGGUUGAAGACGGCGGAAUGAGACAAGUAGCGGUGAAAUGCAUAGAUAUGUCUCAGAACACCGAUUGCGAAGGCAGCUGUCUAAGCCGUUAUUGACGCUGAUGCACGAAAGCGUGGGGAUCGAACAGGAUUAGAUACCCUGGUAGUCCACGCCCUAAACGAUGAUGACUCGAUGUUUGCGAUAUACCGUAAGCGUCCAAGCGAAAGCGUUAAGUCAUCCACCUGGGGAGUACGCCCGCAAGGGUGAAACUCAAAGGAAUUGACGGGGGCCCGCACAAGCGGAGGAGCAUGUGGUUUAAUUCGAUGAUACGCGAGGAACCUUACCCGGGCUUGAAAGUUACUGAAGGGCGCAGAGACGCGCCCGUCCUUCGGGACAGGAAACUAGGUGCUGCAUGGCUGUCGUCAGCUCGUGCCGUGAGGUGUUGGGUUAAGUCCCGCAACGAGCGCAACCCCUAUGUUUAGUUGCCAGCACGUCAAGGUGGGGACUCUAAACAGACUGCCUGCGCAAGCAGAGAGGAAGGCGGGGACGACGUCAAGUCAUCAUGGCCCUUACGUCCGGGGCUACACACGUGCUACAAUGGAUGGUACAGCGGGCAGCUACACAGCAAUGUGGUGCCAAUCUCGAAAAGCCAUUCACAGUUCGGAUCGGGGUCUGCAACUCGACCCCGUGAAGUUGGAUUCGCUAGUAAUCGCGUAUCAGCAAUGACGCGGUGAAUACGUUCCCGGGCCUUGUACACACCGCCCGUCAAGCCAUGAAAGCUGGGGGUACCUAAAGCAUGUAACCGCAAGGAGCGUGUUAGGGUAAAACCGGUAAUUGGGGCUAAGUCGUAACAAGGUAACCG
rnacentral:rRNA from 1 species